GGUUGAAUGGUGUAACGGUAGCACAUAAGAUUCUGAUUCUGUUAGAUCUUUCUUGUGACCUGGGUUCGACUCCCAGUUCGACCU